AGCUCUGAGCAAUGGCAUAGCCAGUGAGGUUUAUCCAAGACUUGAUUAUUGCUAAUUGAAAACUUCUCCCAAUACCCCACUGUGACAACUUGCAAGAUAGACAGCAUUGGCAAUUUUUAACAGUCUAUAUAAAC
ensembl:snRNA U4 U4 spliceosomal RNA